rnacentral:rRNA from 1 species
ACUCAAAUGAAUUGACGGGGGCCCGCACAAGCGGUGGAGCAUGUGGUUUAAUUCGAUGCAACGCGAAGAACCUUACCUACCCUUGACAUCCACGGAAUCCUGCAGAGAUGCGGGAGUGCCGAAAGGAACCGUGAGACAGGUGCUGCAUGGCUGUCGUCAGCUCGUGUUGUGAGAUGUUGGGUUAAGUCCCGUAACGAGCGCAACCCUUAUCCUUAGUUGCCAACACGUAAUGGUGGGGACUCUAAGGAGACUGCCGGUGAAGAACCGGAGGAAGGCGGGGACGACGUCAAGUCAUCAUGGCCUUUAUGGGUAGGGCUACACACGUGCUACAAUGGGGCGUACAGAGGGAAGCGAACCUGCGAAGGGGAGCGAAUCUUAGAAAGCGUCUCGUAGUCCAGAUUGAAGUCUGCAACUCGACUUCAUGAAGUCGGAAUCGCUAGUAAUCGCGAAUCAGAACGUCGCGGUGAAUACGUUCCCGGGCCUUGUACACACCGCCCGU